UACCAGCCAGGCAGGCAGCCAGGAUAAGCUCAUUAGUUAAAAUAAGGGUAAUGCGUAAGAAAAUCUAACAUAUACGAAGUAAAUGACAAUAGUGCAUAAUCAGCCCAGCUCUUCCUAGAAUGUAGUAAGCCUCUAACUAAAUAUAUACAAGUUUUUGUUAAACCAAAAGGUGUUUUUCCUUUUCAUAUAAAAGGCUGACUCUUAAACCUGUACUCGUGGCUGAAUUAGAAUAUUGAAAGUUGUUCAAACAGUGAGAACCCUACACACCCAAACAUGCAGCCAAAGAGUAAAUUACUUAAUGGGCAAGGAACCUCACUUGCAGGGCAUCACAACUAUCAAUUUACACAACAAUAUCUGAUCAAAAUAAGAUAUGAAUAGUCAUCUCCUAGUUUUGCAAGCAAAGUAGUACUCCAUCCGUCCGAAAAAUAAUGUCGCUAGCAUAGUUCAUUGGCAUUUUUACAAAAAAAGUCCUUUGUAAACCUUACGCUAAUUACCCCCUUUCCUUCUUCAUCCGUCCCCCGUCGCUCGCGGCAGCAACCAACCCUAGGCCCCAGCCACCAACGGCACUCAACCUCAUCAACCGUCGCGCGAGCAAGGCCCAUCUACGCCGCCGAAGGUGCCCCUGCCCACCUGCGCUGCAUGCCAACGAGCGAUGUCCAUGAUUUGACGCGAUCAAAUACUCCAGGGCUUUGGAUUUAUUUGAAUUUAUUUGGAAUAAUAUCAAUAGGGAUACUACAAGGACUAAGAAGAAGCUGAAUUUAUUUAACAUACUUAGCCUCAUUUAUAAAUUAGAAAUUAGCUACCAAACGUCUUUUAUGGUCAUUCAAGGAACAUCAUUGACAACCGCAGAAUUUCUAAAUUACCAUAGGAGUAAUUGGCUUUGAAAAAUUUAACCCACCACAUCCUUGAUUUCUCAAUGUAACAUAAGCAGUACAUAAAAUGGAUUAUUCUGUGGUGAACAUUUUGCUGUAAGUGUUGGCUAAAUUCAGAAAUGUGUGUGUACCUGUAGUAUAGCCGUAGCAUCAAUCUGUACAAUAAUUGUGAGUGUACCUGCAGUAGUAGCAAUAUCCAGUUAACUGAAUGCCAUAGCCAAGUGUACAUGAGCACUAUUCAACUCUAUUUCCGUGUGUAUCCAUCACAAAUUGUGAAAAUGUGAAAUUUAGUUAGAGCAAAGUGCCCAUCACUGAUAUCUAUGGAGCAAAGAAAUUCAGUUAGAGCAAGUGUUGUUUUUUUGUCCCCUCGCACUUCACAUUAACUUCAUUUUUACACUUCAAAGCAAAGAAAUGGAAAGAAAAAGAAAGAAUGCACAAGUUUUAGUGUUCAGGUUUGUUUGAGAGCACAACACAUGUUUGCAAAGAAGCUUAAUUAAACUUUGAGUGGGCAGUUUGGCCACAAGUUUCAGAGUUAACAACAGAAGCUUCAUGCCAGGCUAGUAAAAACACAAGGUGACUUGAUUAUAAAAAUGACUUAAACUCAAGUUGAGUUACAUAAUGAGAACAAAAUUUCCAAAGGAAGAAUAAUCAUAUUUUAAACAAAACAUAAUUUAAUUUCUGAAGGCAGAAUAAUCCAUACUCCUGCCAAGUACAGAUGGAGGACCAUUCAAAUUUCAAUUACUCAGUCAAAAUUCAUUUAAAUUUUCUUAAGAUUAUUUCCAUCAAAUUUGCUUUAGGACUAAUUUGACACAACAACUGACACUUUUAAGUUACUCUUCUUCAAAAUAUUGUCUAACUUACAUGACUGCAGUAAUGGCCAAAUUUAUUGAGCACACAUUCAGUAGCUACACAUCCAUUACUUUCACUUUGACUGAAUUUGUUGAGUAUGUACACAUUCAAUACUUUCACUCUUGAUUGGAUGUUUCAGAAUUCAGUUCACUGACAAACAUGAUUAUAAUAGGAAUAGGGUGUAAUGUGAACAUGGUGUAGUUUCAGAAUUCAGAUCCUACUACUCCAUAAUUCAGAUCCUUUGUGCACUCUUUAGUCAACUUAUAUUCAAAAUCACAAGCACAAGCAACUUCAGUCAAAAUCUUCAGUCAAGCAACCUUACAGUGCAGCGGAUGAUGCCGGCACAAGCAACUUCAGUCAAAAUCUUUCAGUUUUGACAGUCAAAACAAUAAUAAGUAGGCCUCAAGCCUUGCAAUUUUUGAGAAGAAUUGUCCAGUGUGAAAUGAGCUCAUGAAUUUAGUUAACAAUGAACCUGAAUCUAUAUCUAAUAUAUGUCUACGGGGACAGAGAGAGAAAUAUGGGGCUUUGAGGAGGGAGGGGGAGACUGACAGGACGAUCGAGAAGGCGCUGACGAGGGGGGCGACGCCCCAGAGCACCACCGCCUGCCGGAUCCAGUGCACCACGUCCAGCA
rnacentral:lncRNA from 1 species